UACAGAGGGGGCAAGCGUUGUUCGGAAUUACUGGGCGUAAAGGGCGCGUAGGCGGCCGCCUAAGUCAGACGUGAAAUCCCUCGGCUCAACCGGGGAACUGCGUCUGAUACUGGGUGGCUUGAAUCCGGGAGAGGGAUGCGGAAUUCCAGGUGUAGCGGUGAAAUGCGCAGAUAUCAGGAAGAACACCAAUGGCGAAGGCAGCUCUCUGGGACGGUACUGACGCUGAGACGCGAAAGCGUGGGGAGCGAACAGG
rnacentral:rRNA from 1 species